UAUGCCUGAGCAGGACGAAGCCAGAGGAAACUCUGGUGGAGGUCCGCAGCGAUUCUGACGUGCAAAUCGAUCGUCCGACUUGGGUAUAGGGGCGAAAGACUAAUCGAACCGUCUA
rnacentral:rRNA from 1 species